GGGCGGUUAGCUCAGCUGGUUAGAGCGCCUCGCUUACACCGAGGAAGUCGGGGGUUCGAGCCCCUCACCGCCCACCA
rnacentral:tRNA from 1 species